GUUGACCUCGGAUCAGGUAGUGGAUACCCGCU
rnacentral:rRNA from 1 species